rnacentral:lncRNA from 1 species
GAACAGAUGUGUCCGUUUUACAAACAAUGCACAAGUGAAGUUUCACAACAAGUGCUGCAUAUUGUUAUUGAUUCCUUGGACACGUUAACAUGGUGAAGACGACUUUGAGACUGUGUAUUCUCGUGGUUGUAGUGUUCUUUGUCUUUUGGCAAUUACAAUUAGCUGUAUCAGGAACCAAACCACUAAUCACAAUGCUAGUGGAGACAGAUUUUGAAGAAGUUGGAGUUGACAGUAUAGAUGCACCAGAGGGGGAGGGGCGUGACGAUUUGAUUGAUGAUUGGAGAUAAUGAGCGUAAUUGUAGAUAUUCUGAUUUGUGAAAUAAAAGCCAUGUAAUCUUGAUUUAACAAUACAAAUGUUUGAAAAUGUGUCAAUAUAUCGAAGAUAUUUUUUCUUCAUGGAUUAAAAAUGUCUAAGAACUAUA